UCCCGUGUAGCUCAGUUGGUAGAGCGUGGUGUUUGCAACGCCAGGGUUGUGGGUUUGAUUCCCACGGGGGGAC
rnacentral:tRNA from 1 species